AUGAUAUCGAUAUGGAUAAUUUCUCUUAUCACUUGGAGCAGUAGAUUUAAAGUUUCCAGCUUAGUGAAAGCCUUGGAGACACGCGUGAGAAAGCACCAAUCCCAUACCCUCGAAUGCCUUCAUCAGUUUGAUGUCAUCAGUGAGGUCCCGAUUAAAAUACAGAAAAUUGAAGUAGUCUCUGAUGACAGCAGUGACAAAGAUAGCAAUUAUGAGAAUAAUGAAGAAGAUAAAAGAUGUAAAAAAAAUGGUAUCCUGCCAGGAAUCGAAUACAAUAUACCACUUGUCUAAUGUUCGGAUUUUGAUUUCUUGUCAUUUACGCUAUUUAUGCUGAUCUCCAAAUUUGAAGUAAAAAAUACGAAUUUAUUUCAAAAAUGUGUUUAUCCAGAGGAAGUAUGCUUUGUAUGUCUCUAAAUCACCAUAGAAACCAUAAAAUGUGAAAUACUACAUGAAAAUCAGAGCAUUGGUUAUUAGCGUUAUCUUUAUUUUGUUUUUUAUUUUAUUCACUGUAAAACCAGUAUUCACUGUAUCAAGCUAUGGUAUUAAAUAUUUAGAGACUUUUAGCUAGAAAUGCAUGCUCAUGAAAUUAGUUCUUCUUUUCUUUGCUCAAAAAAUAAUAAAAACGAAAUGUUAUGUUAUUAAGUACUGCAUGACAAUAUUUGCAAUUCAUUGUAAUAAAUCAUUGUAACAAUUCAUUGCAACUCAAUAAAGAAGCGCAAAUCACUCUAAA